rnacentral:rRNA from 1 species
UACGAAGGGGGCUAGCGUUGCUCGGAAUCACUGGGCGUAAAGCGCACGUAGGCGGCUUUUUAAGUCAGGGGUGAAAUCCUGGAGCUCAACUCCAGAACUGCCUUUGAUACUGAGAAGCUUGAGUCCGGGAGAGGUGAGUGGGAACUGCGAGUGUAGAGGUGAAAUUCGUAGAUAUUCGCAAGAACACCAGUGGCGAAGGCGGCUCACUGGCCCGGUACUGACGCUGAGGUGCGAAAGCGUGGGAG